UUCUUUUCUUAUUUUUCAACAUCCACACAACCAUGAGCUCUCUUUUUGUUUUUUCUUUCUUUUCUUUUUCUUUGCUCCAUAAUUUCAAAGGUGACUUAUUUUUCUUGUUUCUUUUCACACUUUCACCUUUUCUAAAACAUCACUUUUCCAAGUUUUUAAUCAACUCUUCUAAUUUAUUUCACACUUUCACCUUUUCUAAAACAUCACUUUUCCAAGUUUUUAAUCAACUCUUCUAAUUUACUCUCCCCAACUUUAGAUUUCAAGACCAAAUUUAUUCAAUAAUGCUCCCUACUUA
rnacentral:lncRNA from 1 species